UAACACAUGCAAGUCGAGGGGCAGCGAUGUUGACGCUUGCUUUCUUCAGGCGGCGACCGGCGCACGGGUGAGUAACGCGUAUCGAACCUGCCUCAUACUCAGGAAUAUCUACUCAGGAAAGAGUAAGAUUAAUGCCCGAUGUUAUUAGGAUAUCACAUGAUGUUUUAAUUAAAGAUUUAUCGGUAUGAGAUGGCGAUGCGUCCCAUUAGCUUGUUGGCGGGGUAACGGCCCACCAAGGCAUCGAUGGGUAGGGGUUCUGAGAGGAAGGUCCCCCACAUUGGAACUGAGACACGGUCCAAACUCCUACGGGAGGCAGCAGUGAGGAAUAUUGGUCAAUGGACGCAAGUCUGAACCAGCCAAGUAGCGUGCAGGAAGACGGCCCUCUGGGUUGUAAACUGCUUUUAGUUGGGAAUAAAGUGCACCACGUGUGGUGUUUUGUAUGUACCAUCAGAAAAAGGACCGGCUAAUUCCGUGCCAGCAGCCGCGGUAAUACGGAAGGUCCAGGCGUUAUCCGGAUUUAUUGGGUUUAAAGGGAGCGCAGGCGGACCUUUAAGUCAGCUGUGAAAUACGGCGGCUCAACCGUCGAACUGCAGUUGAUACUGGAGGUCUUGAGUGCACACAGGGAUACUGGAAUUCAUGGUGUAGCGGUGAAAUGCUCAGAUAUCAUGAAGAACUCCGAUCGCGAAGGCAGGUAUCCGGGGUGCAACUGACGCUGAGGCUCGAAAGUGCGGGUAUCAAACAGGAUUAGAUACCCUGGUAGUCCGCACAGUAAACGAUGAAUACUCGCGAUUUGCGAUACACAGUAAGUCGCCAAGCGAAAGCGUUAAGUAUUCCACCUGGGGAGUACGCCGGCAA
rnacentral:rRNA from 1 species